CCUACGGGAGGCUGCAGUGGGGAAUAUUGCACAAUGGGGGAAACCCUGAUGCAGCAACGCCGCGGGAGAGAGGAAGGAUUUCGGGAUGGAAAGCUCUAACAGCAGGGAAGAGAAAAGAAGGUAACUGAAAAAGAAGCACCGGCUAACUACGUGCCAGCAGCCGCGGUAAUACGUAGGGGGCAAGCGUUAUCCGGAUUUACUGGGUGUAACGGGAGCGUAGACGGAAAGGCAAGUCAGAAGUGAAAACCCAAGGCUCAACCAUGGGACUGCUUUUGAAACUGUCAAACUAGAGUACGGGAGAGGUAAGAGGAAUUCCUAGUGUAGCGGUGACAUGCGUAGCUAUUA
rnacentral:rRNA from 1 species